GACGUAGGGCGCGAGCGUUGUCCGGAUUUAUUGGGCGUAAAGCGCACGUAGGCGGCUUUCUAAGUCAGGGGUGAAAUCCUGGAGCUCAACUCCAGAACUGCCUUUGAUACUGGAAAGCUUGAGUUCGGGAGAGGUGAGUGGAACUGCGAGUGUAGAGGUGAAAUUCGUAGAUAUUCGCAAGAACACCAGUGGCGAAGGCGGCUCACUGGCCCGUAACUGACGCUGAGGUGCGAAAGCGUGGGGAGCAAACAGG
rnacentral:rRNA from 1 species